AUACGGAGGGUGCAAGCGUUAAUCGGAAUUACUGGGCGUAAAGCGCGCGUAGGCGGUUAUUUAAGUCAGAUGUGAAAUCCCUGGGCUCAACCUAGGAACUGCAUCUGAUACUGGGUAACUAGAGUUUUCGAGAGGUAAGUGGAAUUUCCGGUGUAGCGGUGAAAUGCAUAGAGAUCGGAAGGAACACCAGUGGCGAAGGCGACUUACUGGCCAAAAACUGACGCUGAGGUGCGAAAGCGUGGGUAGCAAACAGAAUUAGAAACCCUAGUAGUCC
rnacentral:rRNA from 1 species